rnacentral:rRNA from 1 species
CCUACGGGUGGCAGCAGUGAGGAAUAUUGGUCAAUGGGCGCGAGCCUGAACCAGCCAAGUAGCGUGAAGGAUGACUGCCCUACGGGUUGUAAACUUCUUUUAUAAAGGAAUAAAUUGAGGCACGUGUGCCUUUUUGUAUGUACUUUAUGAAUAAGGAACGGCUAACUCCGUGCCAGCAGCCGCGGUAAUACGGAGGAUCCGAGCGUUAUCCGGAUUUAUUGGGUUUAAAGGGUGCGUAGGCGGCCUUUUGAGUCAGCGGUGAAAUUCUGUUGCUCAACCCUGGAAUUGCCGUUGAAACGGGGCGGCUUGAGGAUGGUUGAGGCAGGUGGAAUGCGUGGUGUAGCGGUGAAAUGCUUAGAGAUGACGAAGAACACCGAUGGCGAAGGCAGCCGGCCAAGCCAUGACUGACGCGGAUGCACGAAAGCGUGGGGAUCAAACAGGAUUAGAUACCCCAGUAGUC